rnacentral:rRNA from 1 species
CUACGGGUUGCUGCAGUGGGGAAUAUUGCACAAUGGGCGCAAGCCUGAUGCAGCCAUGCCGCGUGUAUGAAGAAGGCCUUCGGGUUGUAAAGUACUUUCAGCGGGGAGGAAGGGAGUAAAGUUAAUACCUUUGCUCAUUGACGUUACCCGCAGAAGAAGCACCGGCUAACUCCGUGCCAGCAGCCGCGGUAAUACGGAGGGUGCAAGCGUUAAUCGGAAUUACUGGGCGUAAAGCGCACGCAGGCGGUUUGUUAAGUCAGAUGUGAAAUCCCCGGGCUCAGCCUGGGAACUGCAUCUGAUACUGGCAAGCUUGAGUCUCGUAGAGGGGGGUAGAAUUCCAGGUGUAGCGGUGAAAUGCGUAGAGAUCUGGAGGAAUACCGGUGGCGAAGGCGGCCCCCUGGACGAAGACUGACGCUCAGGUGCGAACGCGUGGGGAGCAAACAGGAUUAGAUACCCGUGUAGUC